AUUGAACGCUGGCGGCAGGCCUAACACAUGCAAGUCGAACGGUAACAGGAAGAAGCUUGCUUCUUUGCUGACGAGUGGCGGACGGGUGAGUAAUGUCUGGGAAACUGCCUGAUGGAGGGGGAUAACUACUGGAAACGGUAGCUAAUACCGCAUAACGUCGCAAGACCAAAGAGGGGGACCUUCGGGCCUCUUGCCAUCGGAUGUGCGCAGAUGGGAUUAGCUAGUAGGUGGGGUAACGACUCACCUAGGCGACGCUCCCUAGCUGGGCUGAGAGGAUGACCAGCCACACUGGAACUGAGACACGGUCCAGACUCCUACGGGAGGCAGCAGGGGGGAAUAUUGCACAAUGGGCGAAAGCCUGAUGCAGCCAUGCGGCGUGUAUGAAGAAGGCCUUCGGGUUGUAAAGUACUUUCAGCGGGGAGGAAGGGAGUAAAGUUAAUACCUUUGCUCAUGGACGUUACCCGCAGAAGAAGAACCGGCUAACUCCGU
rnacentral:rRNA from 1 species